UAGGCACAAGUUGGUGCAAAAAUGAGCAAAAUUUUACGUUUGCUCAAUUAGGGUAUGGAACUUGGUUCCUCGAAUAACUUCCUGCACAGAUAUCUGAGGGCAUGGCCGUCCAAGAAGAAAAUGUAGCCAUUGGUGCCAUCUAUCGACCACAGGAUAAAGAUUGGCGAUCCGUUGGAUACCGACCGAGUUAUAGGCAAAAUUUGGUGCAAAAAUGAGGAAAAUUUUACGUUUGCUCAAACAGGGUAUGGAACUUGGUUUCUCGAAUAACUUCCGACACGGACAUCUGAGGGCAUGGCCGUCCAAGAAGAAAAUGUAGCCAUUGGUCCCAUCUAUCGACCACAGGUUAAAGAUUGGCGAUCCGUUGGAUACCGACCGAGUUAUAGGCAAAAGUUGGUGCAGAAAUGAGCAUAAUUUUACAUUUUCUCAAACAGGGUAAUGAACUUGGUUCCUCGAAUAACUUCCGACACGGACAUCUGAGGGCAUGGCCGUCAAAGAAGAAAAUGUAGUCAUUGGUGCCAUCUAUCGACCACAGGUUAAAGAUUGGCGAUCCGUUGGAUACCGACCGAGUUAUAGGCAAAAGUUGGUGCAAAAAUGAGCCUUAUGAAAUUUUCAAAUUUUUAUAAUUUGCUUAUUUUUUAUAAUUUUUUAUUUUUUUUCUGUUUAAAGCAUUAUUUGAAUGAAAAGAAACACAUUACAACCAAUUGGCAUUAAAAUAAAUCAAUUUUAUUUUUUGUGCAAAAUUUCCC